UGUUAACUUCCGGGAGAUAGCUAGCGUAGCUAACUAAAUCUGCAAAAGACAAAUGCAGAAACGACACAGACACAGGACAGGGUAAUAACAUUUUAUGUAGCAAGCUAUGAUAUAAUAAACCAUAAGCUAUGAUUCCAGGCUGUGAUAUAAACACCCUGGCCUGUAUUUGUCAGUUUUACCAAAAAGUAUUGCUAAUACUGUAGCUGUCGGUAAAAAGGAAGUUAGCUACCCUUCGUUCUGGUUAGCUUCUAUAGAGCUACUACCCAUCCUACACAGCAGUAGGUCUGGUAAACUGUAGUCCGGUGUCAGGUCUGAAGCCAGGAGCAAAAUGGAGAACUACUGAGUAAGGAGCUCGGCAUCUCGACUACAACCGGCAUCCAGGGUGCCAGAGACAGCUCUCAUUGGACGGGUUUGGGGACAUCGCCCCGCCCCUUCUCCACCUUGCGGGCCGAGGAGGAUUUCUCCACUGCCGGAGACAAGGAAAAUCACAGUGUCUUCAUGACACAAGCGGUGGGAAGCCUGGAGGGAUGGUGGCGAAUGACAAUAGUGAGGUACUUCACAGGAUGGCUGAAGUGUCUGAGGCAAUGAUGAGGUCACCCACUCUUCUAGAUCUGUGCACAAAUAUUCAUCAUCACCACGGCUCCAGCUAUGACAAGAUUGAUCGUCGGAUCUCACGAAUGCUGAAAUGCCUUACGAAGCUUGAAGACAGCUAUCUAUAUCCGCCACCCUUUGUUUACACUCGUUAAGCUUCAUGCGUGUUCGAGCUGCACCUGCAUACAGGUGGAACUCGAGGAAGCCGUAGACAAUUACAGGCCAGAGAGGUCUGCGUGGCUGACUGUGACACAGGCAGGCCUGCCAGCCAUAAUCACCACUCCCAAUCUGCUUUGAUGUCUCUUCUCUGGUAAUGAGCAUGACAUUACAGUAUCUACGGGCAUGGCAGUAAGACACAGGCUGCUUUUGAAGAUAUAAUGAGAAGUGUUAAUGAGAGAACAGAGUGGUGGAUGGCAGCAAGCGAGGUUGUGAAGCUGUGUGAUGC